UACGAAGGGUGCAAGCGUUACUCGGAAUUACUGGGCGUAAAGCGUGCGUAGGUGGUGCGUUAAGUCUGUCGUGAAAGCCCCGGGCUCAACCUGGGAAUGGCGAUGGAUACUGGCGCGCUAGAGUGCGGUAGAGGAGAGUGGAAUUCCCGGUGUAGCAGUGAAAUGCGUAGAGAUCGGGAGGAACAUCAGUUGCGAAGGCGGCUCUCGUGGACCAGCACUGACACUGAGGCACGAAAGCGUGGGGAGCAAACAGG
rnacentral:rRNA from 1 species